rnacentral:tRNA from 1 species
UGGGGUGUGGCUCAGUGUUAGAGCACUUGCCUAGCAUGUGUGAGGCACUGAGUUUAAUCCUCUGUACUUCAU